rnacentral:rRNA from 1 species
UACGAAGGGGGCUAGCGUUGCUCGGAAUCACUGGGCGUAAAGCGCACGUAGGCGGGUUCUUAAGUCGGGGGUGAAAUCCCGGAGCUCAACUCCGGAACUGCCUUCGAUACUGGGGACCUCGAGUCCGGGAGAGGUGAGUGGAACUGCGAGUGUAGAGGUGAAAUUCGUAGAUAUUCGCAAGAACACCAGUGGCGAAGGCGGCUCACUGGCCCGGUACUGACGCUGAGGUGCGAAAGCGUGGGGAGCGAACAGG